AACAUAAAUGCAUGAGAACAAGCCAAUUAAGUCGCAUAAAAUGCUCCUAUCAAUGAGUGACACCUAGCAGUAUGUCAUGGCUACCCAAGCUAAUCAGAAGAGGUGGAUAACCUAUUCAGUUUAGGAUUACAAUGCAAUACAGUGUUUCUCUAAUACAAUACUCUUGACCACAUUGUUUGGUUUGAUAGUUUAUUCAUGUCUACUAUCCAAUGUGAUUCUCUUACUUAUAUGAUUACCUUGAAUGUAAUUUGGAACGACUUCCUAAAUCUCAUUCAUACUGUGGCCAGAGAUUCUUAAUCAUAUCAUAGAGUAUUCUCCCUCAAACGGUUUGAAGGUUAGAGAUCAUUUGUUGUGCAUUCACUUACCUCUAUGGCUAAGUGGCUUAACCCCAACCAUGAGUUCUCAUGUGACAUGAGUAUGAGAACUCCUUGUUGAUCGUGUUCAGUGGACUCAUUCUCUAUUGAGCACCUACAUGCUUGUCUUGGUGUCAGUCAAACCAAUGACUUGAGACCCGUCACUCUCCCUAAGAGAAGACAUAGCAUGUACUGAUCUUAACGGACUGUUAACGCCUAAUUGGCAAUCCUAUGAUCAGGAACGUUUAGGAUAUGUAAACGAAAAAAAUGGUCUCAUGAAUCUAACUUCUUUAGAUCACAUUCUCCCAAUUGCAUAUUCCUUGGACUUAUUGUUUAAGCAUAUAACAUUUAUAUGAGAUGGCUUAAAACAAUAAUCUUUGCCCUUUGUAUUAAACUAGAUUAGUUUAACAUGUGAAACGUUCGUAAAGUGUCAUCAUAUGAUUGGUUUUAGGGCACAUUUCCAACACCCAUCUUUCUUUUGACGAAGAUGACUGAUUAGCCAGCGUCACUCGUGAUAUUUAGCAGUGAUCCGAAAGCGAUGUGCCCCUUCUUCAAGUUUAGAGAAAUCUUGGUAGUUGAGCCGAAUUCUAAGUCUACAUAAACAGAAAAGGAUAAAUUAGAAGGCAGCUCAACAAAAAGUAUAAAGUAGCUUAGAGACUAUGUAGCCCACUUACCAUUGAUGAAAGCAGUCGGAACCCGCAACCCAGACGAGGAAUCGGAUUCCCACACUUUGCUAAUUUCUAGGGUCUCCUUGGCUUAAUUAUGAUCUCUUUUGCUCAAAUGAUCGAAGAGCUUAUGACGGGUCCUCAGCUGCCCAACACCAUUGAUGUGGCCUAUGUCAAAGAAAUACCUACUUAAGCUGUGAAACCUCACUAUCUUACGAACCAAGUUCGGAGAGCACUGAGAAGGAGCACACUUCAUGGAGCAGAUCACCUCCUAGAAGAAUCGAGGCAUUGGAAAGGUGAAUCCCAACAUGAAGUAGCAGGGAUGAAACUUGAUAGCUUUCUUAGACCUACAUGGUUUCUGCUACUUUCCUUGGCCCCUUUCAUGCAAACCCAUAUGGAAUUGGGUGUUUAAACAUCUUAAGGAAGUCCCUAAACUGCUCAUCGAAAUCUAUCUUGACAUGAGCAACCCUGAAGUAGCCUAGCUUACUUGCAGAUCCACCCUGGUGAUACAACAACAUAAUAAAUUCAUCAUUCUUGUGGCUCGAGGAAGACAUGUUAAAAAAAAUCCUACAAUAGUGCAAGAAAAAUUGUUAAAAGGCUACUUGAAGAAGGAAAAAAAUAAAUAGAAACAAGACUUCAAGAGCCCAGCAGCCACGCCUAGCCCCAUAACUUGGUUCCUCUUUUCAUGGUCUAAAACGCAUAGCAGGCUAAUUUGCAAGGCAG
rnacentral:lncRNA from 1 species